rnacentral:rRNA from 1 species
AUGCUCGCGCCGCAUCUCGCCCUUGUGCUCCCGUGCGACUGCUGCCUCCGUUGCGCCGCCCAAGUCGAGGAGCGCCGGGACCGAUUCGCGCUCCCUCCCCUCGGCCUCGGCAGUCAGCUGCCGCCUCCGGCCCCUGCCUCCGCUGCGCCGCCAAAGCCGAGGAGCGCCCACUCCGACUCCUCGCUCAGCUACUCUGCGCACCGCUGCUGCUGCUCGCCUCGCCGACUCGUAAUUUCCUGGACUGUGAGUGAGACACUAGAAAUAGAAGAUGAAGAGGAUUUUUUUUGUCGGUGCCCGCAGCGGGAGUGUCUACACUCUAUUGCUUCAACUCAGUGGAGUCAGGGAGUGUAUUUGCAAGUAUUGAUGAUAAUGAUAUUUGAUAUCGUUUUCAGUCCUAUAGGUCUCGUUGUAGUGGUGUUGGUUCUUCUUCUACAGUUGAUCAGGUCAUGGGACACACAGAUGAAGCAAACAAUUGUUUCGGAGGAGAGCAUGGAGUUCUUUGAGGAGCUUAAUAUUCACAGGGAUGCUCCCAGCAAGCUCGUUGUGCGAGAGCUCAAGGGCCACCAAGGUCCUCAAAGCCGAGAAGUCAAGAGACUCAAGUGUCCCUCUCAGCCGUAUCCCCGGCAGGGAGAUGGCGGCGAUCACCGGCCGGCGUCCAUCACACCGGAUGCCUUGCCAACGGCAAGGUGCUGA